rnacentral:lncRNA from 1 species
GGCAAGGAGGAAGCUGGUUUCAUCUGCUAAGGAUAUGAUGAGGAAAUUGAAGAUGAGAGGUAAAAUAUCAUGUUCAAGUUCACUAGCUACCAAUGGUGGAGAUAAAAUAUGAAUGCACGUGGGAAGACUGGAGAGCCAUGCUUUUAACCCCUGGACUUUGCUGGAUGGGUAGAAUGCCCAGGACAUACAAAGCACCUGACCAGCAGCAGCUCUGGCCACUAUCAGAGGAAAAUGAUGAGGUUUCCUGCCAAGCUAUAGCACUAACAAUUAAUUUCCUGGUGCAACUUACCUCUGUGACAUCUGUGCUGAAUUUUGUUUCUCUAUGGGUCUAAAUCUUGUUUCUUCAACAAGCAGAGCAUAAGUUCCUUUGGAGAUGACAAGAUAAAUACGUUAAAUCUCAGGUUGACCUAUCAGGUCUGGUUAGUAUUAGCGGUUAGACCUUAAAUAGGCCACUCCCCUUCUCUGGAGGGAGUACAUAUUCUGCUGACAGACUGAAUAUACAAACAGACAGUGGCCAGGCCAUAUCUAAAAAUAGAACUCUGACCCACAAUCUGCAACAACCAGCCCAGGAAGCCAAUCCAUCCAGCCCAGGAAGCCAGCCUACUCUCAAUAUGUCAGACUCUCAAGGAAGUAAGAUCACUAUCACUAGCAAUCAGCCCCGGAAGCAAUAACACCUUUAACAAUUGGCUCCAAAUGGGCAGGACUUGAUUAAUAAUUGACAGCUUCUCUAAUUUUUGUCCCUGCUUCCAACUUAGGAUAGGCCAGAGAAAGUCAAAAAUAUAAACCCCAAUCACAUAGGAUGCCCACUUCUAGUCAGCAUGCCUACAGCUUCUCCAUGCAAACAGCCUCCAUUCAGGGGAUACCUGAAGCUUUUCUUUAUCCAAGUCUAAAGCUUUCCUACUCCUCUGCCUGCCUUGACAUCUCUGCCAAAAUGCAGGUGAUGAUGGCUGACUCCCUCGCUAGAGGAAGCUCUGAAUAAAUAGCCUUGCUUGUUCUCAUUUGGGUGGUUUUCA